AGAUGGCGACCGGCGCACGGGUGAGUAACACGUAUCCAACCUGCCGAUAACUCGGGGAUAGCCUUUCGAAAGAAAGAUUAAUACCCGAUGGUAUAAUCAGACCGCAUGGUCUUGUUAUUAAAGAAUUUCGGUUAUCGAUGGGGGAUGCGUUCCAUUAGGCAGUUGGUGAGGUAACGGCUCACCAAACCUUCGAUGGAUAGGGGUUCUGAGAGGAAGGUCCCCCACAUUGGAACUGAGACACGGUCCAA
rnacentral:rRNA from 1 species